GCGCGGGUGGCGGAACAGGCAGACGCAGCGGCCUUAAAAGCCGCAGCCGCAAGGCGUACGGGUUCGAGUCCCGUCCCGCGCACCA
rnacentral:tRNA from 1 species